ensembl:lincRNA B830012L14Rik RIKEN cDNA B830012L14 gene
GAUUUCUGCAGGAGCUUGGUAUAGGAUAUGUGUGGUUUUCUUGUGUGCAGUAUGACACCUGGGAAAGGAGAUACCCUUAGAAAAUUAAAAAGUACUGUUCUGUUCCCUAUCCACCCAUGGGGCUAUAUUUAUUUGGUCAGUUCAGUUGUGUUUUUUUGAAUCUAUGAACCAAGUUCCAAGAGGGAUAACACAUAUGGUGCGCCUAUCCAGACAAAGCUCAACAUGCCAGGGAACAGAAGAUUUGAAAAGUAUGUUGGCAACUACUUUAUUCUACUUAGGGUAGUUGCCUAAGAUCUCCCAUCCAUCCUUCCUUCUUCCCUUCUUCCCUGACUCCCUCCUCUCUCUUCAGAAUAGAGUAUAUGUCUAGCAACAUCAUAUGCCUGACACUGUCUUUUCUUCCUUGCCUUGGUGGUUCCUGACCGUGGACUUCACCCUCAUUCCUUGUUCGCCGUCUUCCCUUCGAACUGAGUGAUGAUGUGGGAGAUGGUUCUGCCACGAGGAUUCAUCUCAGUUCUCACCAUCCAUCCUCUUCAUCUCAACUCAGGUCCCCUGACACAGAACCUUCAGAGUCUUGGUUACCUGAUCCAGCUUCUGUGACCAAAAAUGGCAGCCGUACUGUGACAGUCUUACUGGGUAAGUUCCACUCUUUCUGUUCCUCUCAAUGCUAUUUGUCUGGGGCAAGACCAGACUUGUUUGGGUGGGUGCUUAGUGUGUAAGCAUUGAAAGCUGAGCUUUCCACCUGAGCUGGAGCAUUCAUGCAGCCUGUGGGGAGGCCAGUCCUAUGGUUUCUUGAGAGUAGCAGCGGCUACUUCUGGCAGUGGCUUCUCUGAGUGGAGGGCAGGAAUGACCAAACAAGUCUCUCAUUCCCACAUCUCUAGUCUUCACAGAUCCUUCAUGGCACCUGAGCUGGGGUGUGGGAUAACCUCUGUUCCCCUGCUGUGGUAUUUGUAAAAAUAGGAUGCCAAGUGUCAUGGUAUGGACCUGUGAUCCCCAUCUCUGGAGAAACUGAGGCAGCUGUUGCCAGUUAGCCUGGUCUUCAGGCAGUUGCAUUUUUUUGGGUGGGGGGAGACUACAAAAGCAAGAGCAAGUGGAGCUGUUCUCAAAAGUCACAUCUGUCAUGUGAUACUUUAAAAAAUAAUGCUUUCUCAUUAAUAAGAGAAGAUUCUGUUCAAUGGGAAAGCAUAGGAAGUAUUGGGGGCGGGCAAAAUGUUUAUAGUCACUCAAAGAUGACCACUGCCAACGUUUGGCUAAUAAUGUUUGGUUUCUGGUUUAUUCCUAUAAAUACACUCUUGCGCUCGUGUGUGUGUGUGUGUGUGUGUGUGUGUGUAUGAGAGUGUGUGUGUGUGUGUCUAAUUGAGCUUAUCAUUGCUAUUUUUUCUCAUCUGCCUGUAUAUCCUAAACUCUGCCCUAUGCCAUUCAGUAAUUUAUCAUCUUUGUUUGUUUUUUUGGUUUUUUUGUUUGUUUGUUUGUUUGUUUUUUGGGUUUUUUGUUUUGUUUUUGUUUUUUGGGGUUUUUUUUUUUUUGUAACUAUGGAGUCUAGAUAGUAUCUAUAAUUAACAAUUGGUCUGUGUGUGUCCAUCUGGAAACAGGUGCAAAAGCUGGGUGGCCUUUGUUAGGUGCCUUCUCUGCGUGCUCGCCUCUGCAGUUUGGUCUAGUGUCUUGCUGUUCUUUAUACAAGCAAGUGUCUCUGUCAGGAGGCAGGAACACGAGGCCAAAUUACCCUCUGAAAACUUUUUUUGCCCAUUACAUUUUCAGAAUUAGUUUGAGAAAGUGCCUGCUGCUCUGGGAAUUAUCAGAGUUUUUAACCUUUGCUGGUUUGUCAAAACAUGACAUUUCACUCCUUCCAUCCCCACAGCUUUUAUCACACAGCACAGAGCACUUCCCACCCUCUUUGUGGGGUGUUUGUAUCUGAAUUGCUAGCUCGGGCUUCUUGCACUUUUCAUUAUUCCUUUAGUUUUUAUGUUUUUUUUUUUUCUUUUCUUUUUUUUUUUUUCCUGUCAAACUCAUGCAUACACAUCAUUUUAAGAGCCGGAUCCUUCUACAAGAUUGUCAGGGAAGCGUCAGCCCUCCCCCCUCCCAGCUCCACCCGAAUAUUAUAAUAUGCUGCCUUACCUGUAACUGCCUUAACUGAUUCUCUCCACAUUUACAUCCUAAUGCUAAGUAACAGGCUUGGUUUUCUGCUCCUUGAUUUUCUUUCUUUGUGUGUGUGUGAUUUUUUUCUUUUUUCUUUUUUUAAGCUUAGGCAUCAUUUUGAUUGCUCUAUUGUUGAAGACAAGCAUUUAGCUUUUUUUUCAUAUGCCCCUGUCUUCACCCUGCACACACAACCCUGUACUAUCCUCCCGAUAGAUUAUUUUGAAAUGCUUGCUUGCUUUAUCAAUACUUGAGAGGUUACACCCCUUGUUGAGUAUGAACACGCUCACAAAGCAUAAUAACCUGGACCUGAGUAUUUAUCUUCUCCCUCGUAUUUUUUUCUCUUCUGGAGUCUGUAUAUGUAUGUGUGCGUGUGUGUGUGUUGCUUUGUUUUGUUUUGUGUAACUCAGGUUAACUCACAGCCUUCCCAUAUAUACAAAAAACAUGAAGUGUUCGAUACAUAUGUGUAUCAUGUUGAAGAACUUUCUUCCUGGAGUCAGCUUCUAAUCUUCUCAUGGGCUAGCUCCUCUUUAGGCUGACACCAUCUUGAUCUUCCCAUCUCCUCCUAAGAACAGGUUCCUUUAUUUUUCUAUCUCUUAGAUGGGUUGCUGGUUUUUAUAGAUGCCAUGAUAUUCUUUUUGGGGGGAGGGGUGCUAUUCCCAUUUUGAUAGAAUAUCCAGAAAAAAGUUUUGCAUAGUCAAUUGUCCACAUUGACAUUGAUAAAUCAGCUAGGUAUAAAAUUCUCAGUUACAGAGUCUUUCCCUCAGAUUUUCAGAAAUACAUGGACUUGGGAAAAAACAGGUUAGAAACUCUCAGGGUAAGAAAAUUAGAGAGAGAUGGAGAUGAACAACAGUCUACCAAAAAGCCUUGUCUUCUAGCUUCCAGGCCUACUGUGAAAAGCCAUAAGCCCUUGUCUUGAGGGAAUAUGUAGUAUUUUCCUGUUUUCUCUCUUUGUAUGAGAAUUUCAUUGCUUCUAUGUUGAUUUGGAUAUAUGCUCUUCUAUUUUCUUCCUUUUGAUCCAAAACUUUCUCUUUUACUCCUUGAAGCUAAUUUUUCACUCUCUUUCCUCCCCUGUGCACCUUAAUAGUAUAUGGAAUCACUUUGACUGAUUGUAUAGUGUUACAAGGUCUUCUCUCCAAUAUUGCUCUAUUAAUUUUUACUCAAAUGCUACCAGCAUUCGCUUCCUCCCCUCCCUCUCUUCUUCCUUUCCUUCCUUCCUUCCUUCCUUCCUUCCUUCCUUCCUUCCUUCCUUCCUUUCUUUCUUAAAUUUACAUUUAAUUAUUUUCCAUGAAGUCUUUUAUUCUAAAAUUGUGGUGUUAGUAAGAUGGAUUAACAGUUAAGAGCUUGGGAUGUUCUUAUACAGGACCAGGGUUUGGUUCCCAGCACCCAUGGUGGGUGGCUUAUAAUCACUUUUUCCCUAGAGCUAUAUGAGAUCUGAUGGUCCUUUCUAGCACUGGUUGUAUCUUCAUGCAUGCAUAUGUGUGCACAUGUAUCUGCAUGCACACAUACACACUGAUACCUCUUCCCCCUCAUACACAUGAGCAUGCCCAUGUGAGCACAUACACAUGCACACACACAUGAAAAUAUUAAACUAACUCUUAAAGUUAAAAAUUGUUAGGUUAAAGAAAUAUAUCAUUUCACUUUUUCCUUAAAGUUUCUUCAUUUGCAUUUUUGUUUGGAUAAAAAGGUAUUUCAAUAACAAAGCUCAUAUAGUCAUUUUGUUCUAGACUUCUAUAAUUUUAUGUCUUCUAUUUCAACAUUUAUACCAUUAAUUCAUUAUAGUAAUAUCUUAUUUCUACCUUUACUGCAUUGCAUAUCAUCUUUAAAAAUGUGUGUAAGUGUUUUGGCUGUGUGUAUCUGUGCACUAUGCCUGUGCAAUGCUGAUGGGGACUUAAGAGGUAUUGGUCCCCAUGAAACUAGAGUUAGAGGUGCCUGUAAACCAUCAUGUGGUAACCAAACAUGGCUCUUCUGCAAGAAGAGUGCUAGUGCUCUUAAAUACUGAGUCAUGUCUCCAGCCCCCUAUAUAUGCCUCUACUGUUUUGAUUCCUGUGUUGAUUUUACUCUCUUGUAUUGGCUUACUAAAUUCUUAGGCCAGCUGUAGUUUAUUUUCAUAAAUUAUGUUAUAUUGAAUCAUUGUUCAGUGGCAAUAGUCUUCCUUUAAAUUUUUCCUCCUUUUAGUGUGAUUUGGUUUUCAGGUGGAUUUUAACGAUACUGUGAAUCUUAAAACAGUCUAGAUUUUCUGUGGACUUUAUAAACUUGUCCAUCAAAGCCAGACAUAGUAGUGCAUGCCUGUAAUCCCAGCACUUGGGAGGCUGAGGUAGAAAUAGAAAGAUCAUGAGCUCAAGGCCAGACUGGCUACAUAGGGAAACACUGUCUC